CAGUAGCCGCGGGAAUACAGAGGGUGCGAGCGUUAAUCGGAUUUACUGGGCGUAAAGCGUGCGUAGGCGGCUUCUUAAGUCGGAUGUGAAAUCCCUGAGCUUAACUUAGGAAUUGCAUUCGAUACUGGGAAGCUAGAGUAUGGGAGAGGAUGGUAGAAUUCCAGGUGUAGCGGUGAAAUGCGUAGAGAUCUGGAGGAAUACCGAUGGCGAAGGCAGCCAUCUGGCCUAACACUGACGCUGAGGUACGAAAGCAUGGGGAGCAAACAGGAUUAGAUACCCGUGUAGUCCCUGUCUCUUAUAC
rnacentral:rRNA from 1 species